rnacentral:rRNA from 1 species
AUGCAGUCGACGGGCUCUUCGGAGCAAGUGGCGGACGGGUGAGUAACGCGUGAGAAUGUGCCUUGAGGAUGGGGAUAACAAUAGGAAACUAAUGCUAAGACCCAAUGUGCCUUAACUGGUGAAAAAUGAAAAUUGCCUGAAGAGGAGCUCGCGUCUGAUUAGCUAGUUGGGGUGGUAAAAGCGCACCAAGGCGACGAUCAGUAGCUGGUCUGAGAGGAUGAGCAGCCACACUGGGACUGAGACACGGCCCAGACUCCUACGGGAGGCAGCAGUGGGGAAUUUUCCGCAAUGGGCGAAAGCCUGACGGAGCAAUACCGCGUGAGGGAGGAAGGCUCUUGGGUUGUAAACCUCAAAACUUAGGGAAGAAAAAAAUGACGGUACCUAAUUUAAGCAUCGGCUAACUCCGUG